rnacentral:rRNA from 1 species
CGGGCGAGGCGCCGGUCUAAGUCCCUUGGAACGGGGCGUCAUAGAGGGUGAGAAUCCCGUACGUAACCGGUGACCGAGUCCAUGUGAAGCUCCUUCGACGAGUCGAGUUGUUUGGGAAUGCAGCUCAAAAUAGGUGGUAAAUUUCAUCUAAAGCUAAAUACCGGCCAGAGACCGAUAGCGCACAAGUAGAGUGAUCGAAAGAUGAAAAGCACUUUGGAAAGAGAGUCAAAAAGUACGUGAAAUUGUUGAAAGGGAAGCGCUUGCAACCAGACCUGCCCGCGGGUGAUCAGCCGUCCUUCUGGGCGGUGCACUCGCCCGUGAUCAGGCCAGCAUCGGUUCGGGCGGCCGGAUAAAGACCUUGGGAACGUAGCUCCUCUCGGGGAGUGUUAUAGCCCUCGGUGCAAUGCGGCCAGCCUGGACCGAGGACCGCGCUUCGGCUAGGAUGCUGGCGUAAUGGUUGUAAGCGGCCCGUCUUGAAACACGGACCAAGGAGUCUAAUAUUUAUGCGAGUGUUUGGGUGUCAAACCCAUACGCGGAAUGAAAGUGAACGGAGGUGGGAACCCUUUACGGGGCGCACCAUCGACCGAUCCAGAUGUCUUCGGAUGGAUUUGAGUACGAGCAUAACUGUUGGGACCCGAAAGAUGGUGAACUAUGCCUGAAUAGGGUGAAGCCAGAGGAAACUCUGGUGGAGGCUCGCAGCGGUUCUGACGUGCAAAUCGAUCGUCAAAUUUGGGCAUAGGGGCGAAAGACUAAUCGAACCAUC